GACGAACGCUGGCGGCGUGCUUAACACAUGCAAGUCGAACGGUAAAGCUCCAGCUUGCUGGAGUGGAUUAGUGGCGAACGGGUGAGUAACACGUGAGCACCCUGCCACUGACUCUGGUAUAAGCGAUGGACACGGCGUCUCUUACUGCAUACGAGAAGGGUCCGCAUGGGCACCUUCUGGUAAGUUUUUUGGUUGGGGAUGGGCACGCGGCCUAUCAGCUUGUUGGUGAGGUAAUGUGUCACCAUGGCGACGACGGGUAGCCGGCCUGGGAGGGCAGCCGGCCACGCUGGGACGGAAAAGAGACCCGGACUACUACGGUAGGCAACGGUGGGGAAGAUUGCACAAGAGACUAGAGCCUAGUGCAGCGACGCCACGUGAGGGACGACAGCCUUCGGGUUGUAAACCACUGUCAGCAGAGAAGAAGCGAUAGUGACGGUACCUGCAGAAUAAGCACCGGCUAACUACGUG
rnacentral:rRNA from 1 species